UACUACAACGCAGACAGGAAUAGACAACUGCCUCACCCUGCUCUGGGCCUCCCCUGAGCUAGACCCUGUGAGAUUCUGGGACAUUGCAAGUCAAUCUGCUUUUACCAGGCCCCUUCGUGAUCUCAUUCCUCAGGGAGCAGUUCUCACUUCCCCUAUCCCAGAGGACAGAGGGACUCGGCAGUGAAAGAGGGAACCAACUGUCCAAACGCAUGACUAGAACAAAGCCUCCAGAAGACAGACAAGGCCCCAUUUCCAAAUAUCAUCACAAUGAAGAUUAGGGCUUCAACAUACGAAUUUUAGAGGACACAAUUCAGUCCAUAGCAACGAUGCAUAGAAGACAAGGCAAUAUGAAGUGAGAACAGAGGUAUUUGAAGCUGUCAGCCUUCAAGACUGGAGUGAUGCAGUGACAAGCCGAGGCCACCAGAAACUGGAAGAAGCAAGGAAGGAUCCUCUCCUGGCCUUCAGAACUUUGACAGAAUAAAGUUUUUUUUUUUUUUAAGCUGCCAUGUUUGUGGUAAUAUGCUACAAAAUCCACAGGAAACUAACAGGAAUCAUAGUGAUUCCAAAGAGCAGUUGAGAAGAUCUAGUUGAACUCUCAUCUUUUGUUCUCCAUUCUGCUCCCACCCAUUCCCCAACUGGAACCUUUGAAAUGGGAAUCAGAUCAUGCCACCUUCUGCUAAAACCUUCUGUUAGCUCCUCAUUACAGUUAAAGAAAUGUUUUUGGCUGGGUAGCCAAAAGCCACAUACGGUAUUGCCCUCUGUAGCAGCUGUGUUAAUAACAGCCUGAGCAGGAGGGAGAAUGCAGUCAAGAGAACAUGUAAUCAAACUGAAGGACAUUCAUACAAUUGACCCUACACAACAAGGGCCGGGGAGGAACUAAGGUCAUAUAUGGCCAUACAAAUGUGCACUGAGAAGCCAGACAGAGAAGUAAAGCCCCAGGUGUUUUAUGGGUAGGCAAAGCUUGUCUGUGAAGUUAGGGCGUCAGCUACAAGGGACAUGGGCUUCUGAGAGCCAGAGAUGUUCUGUUCUUUGCUAUCACAGCUGGUUAGCUGAGGUGCUCCCUGCCUGCAUCUCUACAUAUCAUAAGCCUCCACCAAAAAGUUAAAAAGUCCAUAGAGACAGAAAGUAGAUUAGUGAUUGUCAGGGGCUGGUUGGAGGGGGACUGUGGAGUGAGUGUUAAUGGUUACAGGGAUUCCUUUUGGAGUAAUGAAAAUGACUUGGAAAUAGAUAGAGGUGGUGGUUGCACAACAUUGUGAAUGCAUGAAAUGCCACUGAAUGUACACUUUUAAACUGGCUAAAAUGAUAAAUUUGAUAUUAUGUG